rnacentral:rRNA from 1 species
AGAGUUUGAUCCUGGCUCAGGACGAACGCUGGCGGCGCGCCUAACACAUGCAAGUCGAACGAGCGAGAGAGAGCUUGCUUUCUCGAGCGAGUGGCGAACGGGUGAGUAACGCGUGAGGAACCUGCCUCAAAGAGGGGGACAACAGUUGGAAACGACUGCUAAUACCGCAUAAGCCCACGGCUCGGCAUCGAGCAGAGGGAAAAGGAGCAAUCCGCUUUGAGAUGGCCUCGCGUCCGAUUAGCUAGUUGGUGAGGUAACGGCCCACCAAGGCGACGAUCGGUAGCCGGACUGAGAGGUUGAACGGCCACAUUGGGACUGAGACACGGCCCAGACUCCUACGGGAGGCAGCAGUGGGGAAUAUUGCACAAUGGGGGAAACCCUGAUGCAGCGACGCCGCGUGGAGGAAGAAGGUCUUCGGAUUGUAAACUCCUGUUGUUGAGGAAGAUAAUGACGGUACUCAACAAGGAAGUGACGGCUAACUACGUGCCAGCAGCCGCGGUAAAACGUAGGUCACAAGCGUUGUCCGGAAUUACUGGGUGUAAAGGGAGCGCAGGCGGGAAGACAAGUUGGAAGUGAAAUCUAUGGGCUCAACCCAUAAACUGCUUUCAAAACUGUUUUUCUUGAGUAGUGCAGAGGUAGGCGGAAUUCCCGGUGUAGCGGUGGAAUGCGUAGAUAUCGGGAGGAACACCAGUGGCGAAGGCGGCCUACUGGGCACCAACUGACGCUGAGGCUCGAAAGUGUGGGUAGCAAACAGGAUUAGAUACCCUGGUAGUCCACACUGUAAACG